rnacentral:rRNA from 1 species
AGAGUUUGAUCCUGGCUCAGGACGAACGCUGGCGGCACGCUUAACACAUGCAAGUCGAACGAGAGAAGAGGAGCUUGCUUUUCUGAUCUAGUGGCGGACGGGUGAGUAACACGUGAGCAAUCUGCCUUUCAGAGGGGGAUACCGAUUGGAAACGAUCGUUAAUACCGCAUAACAUAAUUGAACCGCAUGAUUUGAUUAUCAAAGAUUUAUCGCUGAAAGAUGAGCUCGCGUCUGAUUAGCUAGUUGGUAAGGUAACGGCUUACCAAGGCGACGAUCAGUAGCCGGACUGAGAGGUUGAUCGGCCACAUUGGGACUGAGACACGGCCCAGGCUCCUACGGGAGGCAGCAGUGGGGAAUAUUGCACAAUGGAGGAAACUCUGAUGCAGCGAUGCCGCGUGAGGGAAGAAGGUUUUAGGAUUGUAAACCUCUGUCUUCAGGGACGAAAAAAGACGGUACCUGAGGAGGAAGCUCCGGCUAACUACGUGCCAGCAGCCGCGGUAAUACGUAGGGAGCGAGCGUUGUCCGGAAUUACUGGGUGUAAAGGGAGCGUAGGCGGGAUCGCAAGUCAGAUGUGAAAACUAUGGGCUUAACCCAUAAACUGCAUUUGAAACUGUGGUUCUUGAGUGAAGUAGAGGUAAGCGGAAUUCCUAGUGUAGCGGUGAAAUGCGUAGAUAUUAGGAGGAACAUCAGUGGCGAAGGCGGCUUACUGGGCUUUAACUGACGCUGAGGCUCGAAAGCGUGGGGAGCAAACAGGAUUAGAUACCCUGGUAGUCCACGCCGUAAACGAUGAUUACUAGGUGUGGGGGGACUGACCCCUUCCGUGCCGCAGCAAACGCAAUAAGUAAUCCACCUGGGGAGUACGACCGCAAGGUUGAAACUCAAAGGAAUUGACGGGGGCCCGCACAAGCAGUGGAGUAUGUGGAUUAAUUCGAAGCAACGCGAAGAACCUUACCUGGUCUUGACAUCGUAUGCAUAGCUCAGAGAUGAGUGAAAUCUCUUCGGAGACAUAUAGACAGGUGGUGCAUGGUUGUCGUCAGCUCGUGUCGUGAGAUGUUGGGUUAAGUCCCGCAACGAGCGCAACCCUUACUGUUAGUUGCUACGCAAGAGCACUCUAGCAGGACUGCCGUUGACAAAACGGAGGAAGGUGGGGAUGACGUCAAAUCAUCAUGCCCCUUAUGACCUGGGCCUCACACGUACUACAAUGGCUGUCAACAGAGGGAAGCAAAGCCGCGAGGUGGAGCGAACCCCUAAAAGCAGUCUUAGUUCGGAUUGUAGGCUGCAACCCGCCUACAUGAAGUCGGAAUUGCUAGUAAUCGCAGAUCAGCAUGCUGCGGUGAAUACGUUCCCGGGCCUUGUACACACCGCCCGUCACGCCAUGGGAGUCGGUAACACCCGAAGCCUGUAGUCUAACCGCAAGGAGGACGCAGUCGAAGGUGGGAUUGAUGACUGGGGUGAAGUCGUAACAAGGUA